rnacentral:rRNA from 1 species
GGGUCAGUAGGUUGGUCGUGCCACCGGUACGUACUGGUCCCACUGAUUCCUCCUUCCUGAAGAACCGUAAUGCCAUUAAUUUGGUGUUGCGGGGAAACAGGACGGUUACUUUGAAAAAAUUAGAGUGUUUAAAGCAAGCUAACGCUUGAAUACAUUAGCAUGGAAUAAUGAAAUAGGACGAUCGAUCCUAUUUUGUUGGUUUCUAGGAUUGACGUA